UUAUACUCCAGUGUGUCUCAGAAAGGCAAAGAUGAGCAGGAACAGAAAACAAGGAUAGCAAGUGUUUGGAUCAAGAAUCAAGAAUGAGGCAAAUGGAUGGACGCAGUAAGACUAAAGUUCAAAGAUAAAAGAGAAGCAUCUGUCAACCGAUGAAGGAACUGUCUUUACAGAAAAUAAGAAGACACACAGAGACAACUGGGAGAAAGCCAUGUGAAGAUGGAGACAGAGAACAAAGGUCUAUUGCCACAAGCCAGGGAAGACCAAGAGCCACCAGAAUAUGGAAGAGACAAGGAAGGAUCCUCCCCUAGAGACUUCGAAGGGAUUGUGGCCCUGCUGACACCUUGACUUCAGACUUCUAGCCUCAAAAAUGUUAGAAAACAAACUACUGUCAUUUUAAACCACCCAAUUUGUAGUAGUUUCUUAUGGCAGUCAUUGUAAACUAAUACACUCAUUAAGUUGGUUGCUUUUGAAAACUGAGGGAAAAAAUGUUUUUCUUCUUGCUUUUGCUUUCCUGUGCGUAAAUAUCAAAAACUAAUUCAUAUAACACUAUAAAACAUAAUUUGGACAGAUUGAAGAAUUUAUAAUAUUGAACCCCCGAAACAAGUUCAAAUUUUAGCUAUUGUAAACAUAGAAAAAGUAAUAUACAAUACUAAUUGGCU